rnacentral:pre_miRNA from 9 species
UCACGAUAGCGUAAAAGCUAACUCAAAAUCUGUAUGGAGUUGGAACGUUUGCCUACGUUUGCCGCUAGGGGCGCUGUUCCAACUGUAUACAAAUUUGAGUUAACUUUUACGCUAUCGA